ACAGGGAUUGCCCUAGUAACGGCGAGUGAAGCGGCAACAGCUCAAAUUUGAAAUCUGGCCUCUUUUGGGGUCCGAGUUGUAAUUUGCAGAGGGCGCUUUGGCGUUGGCAGCGGUCCAAGUUCCUUGGAACAGGACGUCACAGAGGGUGAGAAUCCCGUACGUGGUCGCUGGCCUUCGCCGUGUAAAGCCCCUUCGACGAGUCGAGUUGUUUGGGAAUGCAGCUCUAAAUGGGAGGUAAAUUUCUUCUAAAGCUAAAUACUGGCCAGAGACCGAUAGCGCACAAGUAGAGUGAUCGAAAGAUGAAAAGCACUUUGGAAAGAGAGUCAAACAGCACGUGAAAUUGUUGAAAGGGAAGCGCUUGCAGCCAGACUUGCCUGUAGUUGCUCAUCCGGGCUUUUGCCCGGUGCACUCUUCUAUAGGCAGGCCAGCAUCAGUUUGGGCGGUUAGAUAAAGGUCUCUGUCACGUACCUCUCUUCGGGGAGGACUUAUAGGGGAGGCGACAUGUAACCAGCCCAGAUUGAGGUCCGCGCAUUUGCUAGGAUGCUGGCGUAAUGGCUGUAAGCGGCCCGUCUUGAAACACGGACCAAGGAGUCUAACAUCUAUGCGAGUGUUUGGGUGUCAAGCCCGAGCGCGCAAUGAAAGUGAACGGAGGUGGGAACCUUUCGGGGUGCACCAUCGACCGAUCCUGAUGUCUUCGGAUGGAUUUGAGUAAGAGCAUAGCUGUUGGGACCCGAAAGAUGGUGAACUAUGCUUGAAUAGGGUGAAGCCAGAGGAAACUCUGGUGGAGGCUCGCAGCGGUUCUGACGUGCAAAUCGAUCGUCAAAUUUGGGCAUAGGGGCGAAAGACUAAUCGAACUAUCUAGUAGCUGGUUCCUGCCGAAGUUUCCCUCAGGAUAGCAGUAACGUAUUCAGUUUUAUGAGGUAAAGCGAAUGAUUAGAGGCCUGGGGGUUGAAACAACCUUCACCUAUUCUCAAACUUUAAAUAUGUAAGAAGUCUUUGUUACUUGAUUGAACGUAGACACUUGAAUGUACCGUUACUAGUGGGCCAUUUUUGGUAAGCAGAACUGGCGAUGCGGGAUGAACCGAACGCGGGGUUAAGGUGCCAGAAUGCACGCUCAUCAGACACCACAAAAGGUGUUAGUUCAUCUAGACAGCAGG
rnacentral:rRNA from 1 species